rnacentral:lncRNA from 1 species
UUCAGUGGAGAUUUUAAACAGUAUUUUAUAGUACCGCUUUUGUUUUUUAUUUUCAGAUUUCUAGUCUGGAUGUAGUCGGCAACGUCGGAGGUGUAUUUUGGAUCCUCCUCUUGUGAAUGCCAUAGUAUCGAUGAUAACAUCAACUGUUCGUGGUCAUGUCAUCUGCAUCGGAGGUGGAGUCUUGUGAUUGCCGUCGUAGUGGUGCUAACAACAGGUUCAUUCAGACAGUCAACAUUUGUUGCACCAAAUGCAUUGAAAGUCACAGAUCAGCUGGAAUUUUGGAAAGAGGGUGCAGCCUGAAUCAAAUCCUGCUGUUUCUCAUCGGAGAGCUUGUCAACUGUUACUGUCAAAAUGACUCAUUUUUACUGUAUUUUAUUUACACUACCAGUCAAAAGUUAUUGAACAGUAAGAUUUUUAAUGUUUCUUAAAGAAGUCUCUUCUGCUCACCAAGCCUGCA